rnacentral:rRNA from 1 species
UUGAACGCUGGCGGCAUGCCUUACACAUGCAAGUCGAACGGUAGAGGGGCAACCCUUGAGAGUGGCGAACGGGUGAGUAAUAUAUCGGAACGUGCCCAGUCGUGGGGGAUAACGCAGCGAAAGCUGCGCUAAUACCGCAUACGAUCUAUGGAUGAAAGCGGGGAUCGCAAGACCUCGCGCGAUUGGAGCGGCCGAUAUCAGAUUAGGUAGUUGGUGGGGUAAAAGCCCACCAAGCCGACGAUCUGUAGCUG